CUCAGCGGCCGGCCGACCAUGGCGGCGGGGUUGUGGGCGCUGCUGCUGCUCCUGCCCGCGGCGGCUGCUGUCUACGAGGACCAAGUGGGCAAGUUCGACUGGAGGCAGCAGUACGUGGGGAAGCUCAAGUUCGCCUCCUUGGAGGCUUCGCAGGGUUCCAAGAAGCUCAUAGUAGCCACCGAGAAGAAUGUGGUGGCCGCCCUGAACUCCAGGAGUGGGGAAAUCCUGUGGCGCCAUGUAGACAAGGGAACCCCCGAAGGAGCGAUAGAUGCCAUGCUGAUCCACGGGCAGGAUGCCAUCACUGUAUCCAAUGCUGGACGUAUUCUGCGGUCCUGGGAGACCAACAUCGGGGGGUUGAACUGGGAGAUGUCACUAGACACUGGCAGUUUCCAGGUGGCUAGUUUGGUGGGGCUACAGGACGCGGUCAAAUACGUGGCAGUCCUGAAGAAGGCAGCCAUCUCUCUUCACUACCUUUCCAACGGGCACCAGAAAUGGGUGGAACACUUACCAGAAAGUGAGAAUACUCAGUACCAGUUGUUGUAUUCCCAUGGGACUGGAGUGAUCCACGUGCUUGGAAUUGUUCCCCAGAGCCACUUGAACAUUUUAACCUACAGCGUAGAAGAUGGAGAAAUUACGAAACAGACGAGGGUGGCAGCCCCGUGGCUGAGGAGCUUGAGCGGCGCGUGUGGCGUGGUGGGGGAGGCAGUGCUGGUGUGUGUGGACAUGGACACACACUCACUCUACGUUUGCUCCUUGGAGAAGGAGCAGGAGAUGAAGCAGAUCCCGCUGCAGUCACUUGAGCUGGAGUUUGCUGAGGGCUUCCAGCCCAGGAUAUUGGCCACUCAACCCAGUGUAACCGGUGCUUCACGGACUCAGUUCUUCUUGCAGCUCUCUCCGAGCCACUUCUCUCUGCUGCAGUACAAACACGGGCUGCUCAGCCACCUCCGGGACUUCCAGCAGGCAGCUCUGGUGAGUUUUGCGACAACUGGGGAGAAGACUGUGGCUGCUGUCCUGACCUGCAGGAGUGAACUGAAACCAGGAGGUUCUGAUGGCCUUCAUGCUGGGAGUGCUCUGGAGGAUUCCCAGAAGCAGGAAUCCUUAACCUGCUCCAAUCAAACCUACAACAUUAAUCUCUACCUGGUUGAAACUGGACAGAGAUUGCUGGACACCACAAUUACCUUUACCCUGGAGCAGAGCGGUGCCAAGCCGCAGCAGCUGUACAUCCAAGUUUUCCUGAAGAAGGAUGACUCCGUGGGCUAUCGAGCCUUGGUGCAAACAGAAGACCACAUGCUGAUGUUCCUCCAGCAGCCAGGAAAAGUUGUUUGGAGCAGAGAGGAGUCGCUGGCAGAAGUGGUGAGCUUGGAGAUGGUGGAUCUGCCUCUGACAGGGGCCCAGGCUGAGCUGGAGGGAGAAUUUGGAAAGAAAGCAGCCAUUCAAGAUGGUUUGCUGGGGAUGUUUCUGAAGCGGCUGUCCUCCCAGCUCAUCCUGCUGCAAGCCUGGACCGCCCACCUUUGGAAGAUGUUCUAUGAUGCCAGGAAACCCCGGAGCCAGAUUAAAAACGAGAUUAACAUUGAUAAUUUGGCCAGAGAUGAAUUCAACCUCCAGAAAAUGAUGGUGAUGGUCACCGCUUCGGGAAAGCUUUUUGGUAUCGAAAGCAGUUCUGGCACCAUCCUCUGGAAGCAGUAUCUCAGGAAUGUGAGACCAGGCUCCUCCUUCAAACUGAUGGUGCAAAGAACAACAGCCCAUUUCCCACACCCUCCACAAUGCACCUUGCUUGUAAAGGACAAGGAAACCAAAAUGAGCUUUCUGUAUGUCUUUAACCCCAUCUUUGGGAAGAGAAGUCAAGUAGCUCCUCCUGUUUUGAAGCGCCCGAUUCUUCAGACUUUGCUUUUGCCUAUUAUGGACCAAGACUACGCCAAAGUACUGCUCCUGAUCGAUGAUGAGUACAAGGUUACAGCUUUCCCAGCAACUAAAAAUGUCCUUCGCCAGUUAGAAGAAAUAGCCCAUUCUAUCUUUUUUUAUCUCGUUGACGCUGAGCAGGGAAAACUCUCUGGAUUCAGGUUGAAAAGGGACCUGAGCACGGAGGAGAGCUGGGAGGUGGUCAUUCCCACCGAGGUCCAAAAGAUAGUGACUGUGAAAGGGAAGAGGUCCAAUGAGCACGUGCACUCCCAGGGCCGUGUGAUGGGAGACCGCAGUGUUCUCUACAAGUCCUUGAAUCCAAACCUGCUUGCUGUGGUGACAGAGAGCACGGAUACGCAUCAUGAGCGCACUUUCAUUGGAAUAUACCUGAUCGAUGGAGUCACGGGCAGGAUCAUCCACUCCUCGGUACAGAAGAAAGCGAAGGGACCUGUCCAUAUGGUCCACUCAGAGAACUGGGUGGUGUACCAGUACUGGAACACGAAGGCACGUCGGAACGAGUUCACCGUGCUGGAGCUGUACGAGGGGACGGAGCAGUACAACGCCACAGCCUACAGCUCCCUUGACCGCCCCAUUUUACCUCAGGUCCUCCAGCAAUCUUACAUCUUCCCAUCUGCUAUCAGUGCCAUGGAGGCCACCAUCACCGAGCGCGGCAUCACCAGCCGGCACUUGCUGGUUGGGCUUCCCUCCGGGGCCAUCCUCUCCCUUCCAAAGGCUCUGCUGGAUCCUCGUCGCCCAGAGAUCCCUACGGAACAAAGCAGGGAAGAGAACCUGAUCCCCUACUCCCCUGAUGUGCAGAUCCACGCCGAGAGGUUUAUCAACUACAAUCAAACCAUAUCCCGGAUGAGAGGGAUUUAUACGGCCCCCUCUGGCCUGGAGUCUACUUGUUUGGUUGUUGCCUACGGCCUGGAUAUCUACCAGACCCGGGUGUACCCCUCGAAGCAGUUUGAUGUCCUCAAGGACGACUACGACUACGUGCUGAUCAGCAGUGUCCUCUUCGGGCUGGUUUUUGCCACCAUGAUCACGAAGAGACUGGCCCAGGUGAAGCUGCUGAACCGUGCCUGGCGGUAAAGCUGCAGGUGAGGGGAAGGCCAAGGCUGGAGAAGGUACCUGAGGUUCUACCACCCCCACCUUGCUGCUGGGUUCCGUUAGAAAUUCCAGCUUGCGUGACUGAUGGAUGCAAACAUGGAUAUUGGUUUUUUGCUGGAAGAUAUUUGGGAGGAAAAGCUGCUACUGCAACAAAACGAUGUGCUGCCUACGUGUCUCUCAGCAAGAAGGAGUGGAAGAGAGAUGGAAAAGAGACUUCAGUCUGUUAUGACUAAAUAAUAACUCUCCCAAACUUCCGUUAAAGCCCUAAAAUCUGCAAUCGUAUCAUCUCCCCUGUGUUAUUGAAGAUAAUACUAAGGACAGGUGUCCUCUCACUCCUCACCUCUUCCUCAGCACCAGCCCUGACUGAAAUCUCGGUGAGAGGAGGACAGAGGGGCUGUUGGCUGCUGGGAACACUGGUGGGGGUGGUGUGCGGGGCCUGAGGAGACUUUGGGUGAUUCCAUUGGGAAGAAGGUUAGAAACUGGGUGGACAUUGGUGGGAAGCUGCCUCAUCCGGUCCCAUGGGCGGAAUUUGAAUGUCAAACCUCUCCAUUUUCUUUAUUUAUUAUGACAGCGUUGGCUCCUUCCCCUUUUUUAUUUUUUUUAAAUUUUCCUGUCUUUGGUGUCCAACACUGGGGUUCAGGCGCGGAGGCCAUCUCCCCUUUCCCCUCAGGAUAAAUGGAUUUAAACUCUCGGAGUGGAGUUUGGCAGCGCACUGUGGCCCCUGGGAGAGGCCGUGAGGGCAGAACGCCUCAAUAAAAGCCGGGUGCUGAGGAGCA